AUUGAACGCUGGCGGCAGGCCUAACACAUGCAAGUCGAGCGAGCGGCGGACGGGUGAGUAAUGUAUGGGGACUGCCCGAUAGAGGGGGAUAACUACUAGAAACGGUGGCUAAUACCGCAUACUAUCGGAUAACCCAUAUGAGAUUUGCUAGUAGGUGGGGUAAAGGCUCACCUAGGCGACGAUCUCUAGCUGGUCUGAGAGGAUGAUCAGCCACACUGUGACUGAGACACGGCCCAGCGUCCGACGGAGGCAGAAGUGGGGAACAUUGCACAAGGGGCGCAAGCCUGAUGCAGCCAUGCCGCUUGUAUGAAGAAGGCCUGAGGGUUGUAAAGGACUUUCAGCGGUGAGGCGUUAUCCGAAGAAGAAGCACCGGCUAACUCCGUGCCAGCCGCCGCGGUAAUAC
rnacentral:rRNA from 1 species